AGUUAAUGAUCUUGAUUAAA
rnacentral:tRNA from 1 species